AUUGAACGCUGGCGGCAGGCCUAACACAUGCAAGUCGAACGGUAACAGGAAACAGCUUGCUGUUUCGCUGACGAGUGGCGGACGGGUGAGUAAUGUCUGGGAAACUGCCUGCUGGAGGGGGAUAACUACUGGAAACGGUAGCUAAUACCGCAUAACGUCGCAAGACCAAAGAGGGGGACCUUCGUGCCUCUUGCCAUCGGAUGUGCCCAGAUGGAAUUAGCUAGUAGGUGGGGUAACGGCCAACCUAGGCGACGACCCCUAGCUGGUCUGAGAGGAUGACAAGCCACACUGGAACUGAGACACGGUCCAGACUCCUACGGGAGGCAGCAGUGGGGAAUAUUGCACAAUGGGCGCAAGCCUGAUGCAGCCAUACCGCGUGUAUGAAGAAGGCCUUCGGGUUGUAAAGUACUUUCAGCGGGGAGGAAGGGAGUAAAGUUAAUACCUUUGCUCAUUGACGUUACCCGCAGAAGAAGCACCGGCUAACUCCGUGCCAGCCGCCGCCGUAA
rnacentral:rRNA from 1 species